rnacentral:rRNA from 1 species
GUUAACGCUGGCGGCGUGCCUAACACAUGCAAGUCGAGCGAAGGGUGGCAGAAUAUCGCGCCCUUAGCGGCAGACGGGUGAGUAACACGUAAAUAACCUGCCCUCGAAUGGGAGACAACCUGGCGAAAGUCAGGCUAAUACCCCAUAAUACCCCUGGGAAGCAUUUUCCUAGGGUUAAAGGCCCGCAAGGGUCGUUCGAGGAGGGGUUUGCGGCCUAUCAGCUAGUUGGCGGUGUAACGGACCACCAAGGCAAUGACGGGUAGCCGAUCUAAAAGGAUGACCGGCCACAAGGGCACUGAGACACGGGCCCUACUCCUACGGGAGGCAGCAGUGGGGAAUUUUGGACAAUGGGCGAAAGCCUGAUCCAGCGACGCCGCGUGGAGGAUGAAGGUCUUCGGAUCGUAAACUCCUUUUACAGGGGACGAAAGAGCGUAAGCUUUUGACGGUACUCUGUGAAUAAGCCACGGCUAACUACGU